rnacentral:rRNA from 1 species
CCAGACAGCCAGGAUGUUGGCUUAGAAGCAGCCAUCAUUUAAAGAAAGCGUAAUAGCUCACUGGUCGAGUCGGCCUGCGCGGAAGAUGUAACGGGGCUAAACCAUGCACCGAAGCUGCGGCAGCGACGCUUAUGCGUUGUUGGGUAGGGGAGCGUUCUGUAAGCCUGUGAAGGUGUGCUGUGAGGCAUGCUGGAGGUAUCAGAAGUGCGAAUGCUGACAUAAGUAACGAUAAAGCGGGUGAAAAGCCCGCUCGCCGGAAGACCAAGGGUUCCUGUCCAACGUUAAUCGGGGCAGGGUGAGUCGACCCCUAAGGCGAGGCCGAAAGGCGUAGUCGAUGGGAAACAGGUUAAUAUUCCUGUACUUGGUGUUACUGCGAAGGGGGGACGGAGAAGGCUAUGUUGGCCGGGCGACGGUUGUCCCGGUUUAAGCGUGUAGGCUGGUUUUCCAGGCAAAUCCGGAAAACCAAGGCUGAGGCGUGAUGACGAGGCACUACGGUGCUGAAGCAACAAAUGCCCUGCUUCCAGGAAAAGCCUCUAAGCAUCAGGUAACAUCAAAUCGUACCCCAAACCGACACAGGUGGUCAGGUAGAGAAUACCAAGGCGCUUGAGAGAACUCGGGUGAAGGAACUAGGCAAAAUGGUGCCGUAACUUCGGGAGAAGGCACGCUGAUAUGUAGGUGAAGCGACUAGCUCGUGGAGCUGAAAUCAGUCGAAGAUACCAGCUGGCUGCAACUGUUUAUUAAAAACACAGCACUGUGCAAACACGAAAGUGGACGUAUACGGUGUGACGCCUGCCCGGUGCCGGAAGGUUAAUUGAUGGGGUUAGCGGUAACGCGAAGCUCUUGAUCGAAGCCCCGGUAAACGGCGGCCGUAACUAUAACGGUCCUAAGGUAGCGAAAUUCCUUGUCGGGUAAGUUCCGACCUGCACGAAUGGCGUAAUGAUGGCCAGGCUGUCUCCACCCGAGACUCAGUGAAAUUGAACUCGCUGUGAAGAUGCAGUGUACCCGCGGCAAGACGGAAAGACCCCGUGAACCUUUACUAUAGCUUGACACUGAACAUUGAGCCUUGAUGUGUAGGAUAGGUGGGAGGCUUUGAAGUGUGGACGCCAGUCUGCAUGGAGCCGACCUUGAAAUACCACCCUUUAAUGUUUGAUGUUCUAACGU